rnacentral:ribozyme from 1 species
CCGCACGCAUACACGCACACAAAGAAAGAGACAUUAAGAGAGAGAAAGAGAUUAUAAUGAAAGCCACAAAGGCAUCCGAUGCUGCAAUAUUUUUUUGCUUUUUUUGUUUGGCUUUUAGAUUAUUUCA